GCUGGGUGUGGUGGUGCACACCUGUAGUCCCAGCUGCUUAGGAGGCUGAGACAGGAGGACUGCUUGAGCCUGGAAGGUCAAGUCUGUAGUGAGCUAUGAUCACGCCACUGCAUUCCAGCCUGGGCAACAGAGCAAGAACCUGUCUCUA
rnacentral:SRP_RNA from 2 species